CCUACGGGUGGCUGCAGUGGGGAAUAUUGGACAAUGGGCGAAAGCCUGAUCCAGCCAUGCCGCGUGUGUGAAGAAGGCCUUCGGGUUGUAAAGCACUUUCAGUGGGGAAGAAAGCCUUGGGGCUAAUACCCUCGAGGAAGGACAUCACCCACAGAAGAAGCACCGGCUAACUCCGUGCCAGCAGCCGCGGUAAUACGGAGGGUGCGAGCGUUAAUCGGAAUUACUGGGCGUAAAGCGCGCGUAGGCGGUCUGAUAAGCCGGUUGUGAAAGCCCCGGGCUCAACCUGGGAACGGCAUCCGGAACUGUCAGGCUAGAGUGCAGGAGAGGACGGUAGAAUUCCCGGUGUAGCGGUGAAAUGCGUAGAGAUCGGGAGGAACACCAGUGGCGAAGGCGGCCUUCUGGACUGUCACUGACGCUGAGGUGCGAAAGCGUGGGUAGCAAACAGGAUUAGAUACCCUAGUAGUC
rnacentral:rRNA from 1 species